rnacentral:rRNA from 1 species
UACGUAGGGUGCAAGCGUUGUCCGGAAUUAUUGGGCGUAAAGAGCUCGUAGGCGGCUUAGUAAGUCGGGUGUGAAACCUCCAGGCUCAACCUGGAGACGCCACCCGAUACUGCUGUGGCUAGAGUCCGGUAGGGGAGCGUGGAAUUCCUGGUGUAGCGGUGAAAUGCGCAGAUAUCAGGAGGAACACCAGCGGCGAAGGCGGCGCUCUGGGCCGGUACUGACGCUGAGGAGCGAAAGCGUGGGGAGCAAACAGG